rnacentral:rRNA from 1 species
UACGUACUGUGCGAACGUUAUUCGGAAUCACUGGGCUUAAAGGGUGCGUAGGCGGCCUGUUAAGUAGGGUGUGAAAUGCCAGAGCUCAACUUUGGCAUUGCGCUCUAAACUGACAGGCUUGAGUGAGAUAGGGGUGUGCGGAACUUCCAGUGGAGCGGUGAAAUGUGUUGAUAUUGGAAGGAACGCCGGUGGCGAAAGCGGCACACUGGGUCUUAACUGACGCUGAUGUACGAAAGCCAGGGGAGCGAACGGG